rnacentral:rRNA from 1 species
UACGUAGGGUGCGAGCGUUGGCCGGAAUUAUUGGGCGUAAAGAGCUCGUAGGCGGUGUGUCACGUCGGCCGUGAAAACCUGCAGCUUAACUGUGGGCGUGCGGUCGAUACGGGCAUCACUGGAGUUCGGCAGGGGAGACUGGAAUUCCUGGUGUAGCGGUGAAAUGCGCAGAUAUCAGGAGGAACACCGGUGGCGAAGGCGGGUCUCUGGGCCGAUACUGACGCUGAGGAGCGAAAGCGUGGGGAGCGAACAGG